GCGGACAAGGUCCGCUAGGAUGUAACCGUAAGGUUGAACUAUAAA
ncrna:unclassified sequences eL15-Euryarchaeota ribosomal protein leader